ACAGUAAGAAAAGCCCAGUGCUCACUAAAAUUGGAAUGAUACAGAGAAGAUUAGCAUAGCCCCUGUGCAAGGAUGACACACAAAUUCGUGAAAUGUCCCAUAUUUUU
ensembl:snRNA U6 U6 spliceosomal RNA